rnacentral:rRNA from 1 species
UCGNUGCAGAUUAUAGGAGCUUGCUCCUGAUUGAUAAACAUUUGAGUGAGUGGCGGACGGGUGAGUAACACGUGGGUAACCUGCCCUAAAGUGGGGGAUAACAUUUGGAAACAGGUGCUAAUACCGCAUAAAACCUAACACCGCAUGGUGUAGGGUUGAAAGAUGGUUUCGGCUAUCACUUUAGGAUGGACCCGCGGUGCAUUAGUUAGUUGGUGAGGUAAAGGCUCACCAAGACCGUGAUGCAUAGCCGACCUGAGAGGGUAAUCGGCCACACUGGGACUGAGACACGGCCCAGACUCCUACGGGAGGCAGCAGUAGGGAAUCUUCCACAAUGGACGAAAGUCUGAUGGAGCAACGCCGCGUGAGUGAAGAAGGUUUUCGGAUCGUAAAACUCUGUUGUUGGAGAAGAAUGUAUCUGAUAGUAACUGAUCAGGUAGUGACGGUAUCCAACCAGAAAGCCACGGCUAACUACGUGCCAGCAGCCGCGGUAAUACGUAGGUGGCAAGCGUUGUCCGGAUUUAUUGGGCGUAAAGCGAGCGCAGGCGGUUUCUUAAGUCUGAUGUGAAAGCCUUCGGCUCACCCGAAGAAGUGCAUCGGAAACUGGGAAACUUGAGUGCAGAAGAGGACAGUGGAACUCCAUGUGUAGCGGUGAAUGCAUAUAUAGAAAGG